rnacentral:rRNA from 1 species
AACGAACGCUGGCGGCAUGCCUAACACAUGCAAGUCGAACGAGACCUUCGGGUCUAGUGGCGCACGGGUGCGUAACGCGUGGGAACCUGCCCUUAGGUUCGGAAUAACUCCCCGAAAGGGGUGCUAAUACCGGAUAAUGUCUUCGGACCAAAGAUUUAUCGCCUUUGGAUGGGCUCGCGUUGGAUUAGCUAGUUGGUAGGGUAAAAGCCUACCAAGGCGACGAUCCAUAGCUGGUCUGAGAGGAUGAUCAGCCACACUGGGACUGAGACACGGCCCAGACUACUACGGGAGGCAGCAGUGGGGAAUAUUGGACAAUGGGCGAUAGGCUGAUCCAGCAAUGCCGCGUGAGUGAUGAAGGCCGUAGGGUUGUAAAGCUCUUUUACCCGGGAUGAUAAUGACAGUACCGGGAGAAUAAGCUCCGGCUAACUCCGUG